GCCAUCAGGUUAAGCUGGGGACUCUAAAGGAACUGCCUACGCAAGUAGUGAGGAAGGCGGGGAUGACGUCAAAUCAGCACGGCCCUUACGUCCAGGGCUACACACGUGCUACAAUGGCCGAUACAGAGGGCAGCUACCUGGUGACAGGAUGCAAAUCUCCAAAGUCGGUCUCAGUUCGGAUCGGAGUCUGCAACCCGACUCCGUGAAGUUGGAUUCGCUAGUAAUCGCGCAUCAGCCAUGGCGCGGUGAAUGCGUUCCCGGGCCUU
rnacentral:rRNA from 1 species